rnacentral:rRNA from 1 species
AUUGAACGCUGGCGGCAUGCCUCAUACAUGCAAGUCGAACGGCAGCGGGAGAAAGCUUGCUUUCUUGCCGGCGAGUGGCGGACGGGUGCGUAAUGCGUAGGAACUUGCCCUGAAGAGGGGGACAACCCGGGGAAACUCGGGCUAAAACCGCAUAAUACUCUUUGGAGGAAAGAUGCCUGCUUCGGCAGGUGUUACUUUAGGAGAGGCCUACGUUGGAUUAGCUUGUUGGUGGGGUAAAAGCCUACCAAGGCAAUGAUCCAUAGCUGUUCUGAGAGGAAGAUCAGCCACACUGGGACUGAGACACGGCCCAGACUCCUACGGGAGGCAGCAGUAGGGAAUAUUGGACAAUGGGGGAAAACCCUGAUCCAGCAAUGUCGCGUGUGUGAAGAAGGCCUGCGGGUUGUAAAGCACUUUUAAUGGGGAGGAAUAGUUCCAUGUUAAUAGCGUGGAGCAGUGACGUUACCCAUAGAAUAAGCACCGGCAAACUCUGUG